rnacentral:lncRNA from 1 species
CACUGCUGGACAGCAGAGCUGGGUCUGGCGCACAUGCUUUCUCAGGAGAGACACCGGGAGGCUCGGCCAGCUCCCGCACAUUCCUGUGGCUACAGCUCGGACACAGACUCCAGGGAAAGAUGGGUAGAUUUUCCUGAAAGUGUAAUGAGUCAGCAAAGUGUUCUCACUCUGCUUCAGAGAAUAGCGCCAUAUGUCAAUAUUAAUGUUCUUUUAGUGCUGUCUUAUGUAAGGUGUUUUCCUAGAGCUGUCACUCGAACGUUUGUGUGGCAGGCACAAUUCAAAAUCCAGGGUCACCUAACACGAAAGCAGUCACUCCUUACCGGGGAGUAUCCAGAUGGUAACUUUUCAAUGAAUGUAUAUUACAGACAGACGCCGCACCUCAUAAAGAUCUCUUCUCCUGUAGGAUUAGCCAUUCAACAGAAGCUUGAUACAGCAGUUACUUUGCGCCCAGCACAGAGGGUCAGAGUCAACCAAACUGCAGCAAGGUCACAGGAAGGAGAUACAGAAGUGAAUGUUUUUGUUUUCAUUGACAAGAUCUGGAAAAUCCUGAUCAUAAGAGAGUACAUGACGAGGCCUGUCAUCACCUCCUCCCCAGUGGCCCCCAGUUGAUUUUCAAUGUCUGCUGCAUACAACAUGGCUGAAAAUGUCUUUUACAUUCAUCGCUGCACAUCACACAAAACUCCAGAAUAGAUUCUGGGAGAGCAGUGACUGGUGAAUGGGUGCCUGCAUUUGAGACAACGCCAAAUUCUUCUCCACAAAACUUUUCUCCAUGAAACUAUGAAACACUUACUCCUACCAUCUGUGAUGAAGAAGGCCUCUCUUUCCGCAUAUUGGGAAAAUUUGUUAGCUACAAAAAUGGUGUUAAACAUGAAGGUGAAAUGACCAUCUUUUCAUAUUUUAAGAGCCAUUUGUAUUUAUUUUUCUGUGAACACUAGGUUAAAUCCUGUACCCAUUUUUCUUCUUAGUUGUGCCUCUGUAGGGAUGAGUGUGAAAUCAGCCAUUUUUUAAUAUUGUAAACUGUAGGGCUUUUUUCCAGCAUAAAUUUUGUAUUUGGAAUUGCUUAUAGCACUCUUUGUGGCUUUUUAGGUAUUUUGUAUUCAGAUACAUCAGUCCUUUCAUUUGUCGCUUCAACUUUUGUGUCACACUUAGAAGGAGUCCUCUUUCCUUAAAAAUGAAUCUACCAUUUUUUCCUUUCCAGUGCUUUUGUGUAGAUGCCUGCUUAGUUGUCUCUAUGCUAUUAAUCGAAUAUCCCCUCUUUUCCACACUGAUUGGAAAUCACAUCUUUAUCAUACAUUAAAGUCCAUCAUGGAGUUUAGAUUAUUUGCUUUGUUCUGCCUGUUUGUGAGUCAUGAUGUGAGUUCCGCAUCAUUUCCAGCACUGUAGUUUAAUAUAGUAGGUUUUAAGAUCUAAAUAACAAUUAAUACCCUCCCAAGACUCUUCCAGAAUUCUCCCAGCCACUCGUGCUCAUUCAUUUUACAAAUGAAUUUUAGUGUUUUUCUGAUACAAAACAAUUUUUAAAAUUUUCUGUUAGCUAAUUUUGAGAUCAUAUGAACUUUUCCCUUUGCUAAUUUGAGUGUAAUAAGUCUUUCCCAUAUUCAAAAUAUUUCCUGCUCUUCAGUAGCAUUUUAAGCUUUGCUCUUGUAGUAUUGGCACUCUUCUAAUGAGGUUUAUUCCUAAGCAUCUUACCAUCUUCUUUCCACAGUAAAUGGAAACAGUUUUUCCUUAAUACCUUCAACUGGGUUUGUUUGUAGGUAAAGACUGUCAAUUUAUGCAUAUUAAUUUUGCUCCCACUAUUGUAUUCUUGUUUGUAAUUUUUCAUGUAAUUAUUUGGGGUUUCUGGUUAAAUAAACAUGUCAUCUGC